rnacentral:sRNA from 2 species
CUUAUGAUAAUGCCGAAUCUUCUUAAAGAAGUACCGGGGAUAUUUUUGGGGUGAAUCUUCUAUAUGAAGUAGGGUAACCUCUAACCCAAACCCGUCAACUAACCUGGGAGGCAAAACGGAGGGAGUUA